AAUUAAUUUCUUGACAAUAACACUUGCAUCUAUACUUCAGUCUGCUAGUCAAUUUAUAUAAAAAUUAUAACAUGUUUAUUACUGAUUUCUUUUUUUAAAAGGUAUAUUUAUUUGAGAGAGAGAGAGCACGAGUGCAUAGGGAGGGGUAGAGGAAGAGGGAGGGAGAAAUUUUAGCAGACUCCUCACUGAGCUCAGGGCCCGACAGGGGACUUGAUCUCAGGACCCUGAGAUCAAGACCUGAGCUGAAACCAAGAGUCUGACGCGCAACCAAUUGCACCACCCAGGGGCCCCACUAAUGAUUUAUUUCUUAAUAAUCACGCCCUUCCUCUCCUGCUGAGUUGCUUCUGAACUUAAAGGUUAAUGAAACUGAAGCACAUUUUAAAACUUUCUAUGUGAGCCAUGAUAAGUUCUCUGUUCUUAACAGAAAAACAGUAACAUGGAACUACAUAUAUGGUUGUCUCUCUUGCCAGUUAGGUUAUUUAUAUCUUAUCAGAAAAAAGCCAUUGUAUUGAUAUAUCUACCUGCUACUUAACAGGGCGAAACUUAAUUGUGACAUUGUAGGAAACCAAUGAUCAGGGAGUGUAUAAAUUACUCAUUCACUAAACUCAAAAUACAAAUGGCCAGCAGAUAAUUUAUGGUGACGAUGUAAAUGGCAAAAAUGCUAGGAGAUAACAAGCACUGGUUUUUAAAAGAUCAAACAUCAAAGCAAACUGCAGUGUUGAAUCCAUUUUGAAAACCACUUAUUCUGAAUAAAUGUUAUGUUUGAAAAGACAAAGAGCUGGAUAAUCACUUGUGAGCAGGAAAAUAAAUCAUUUGUUGUUACAGAAUUUGAAAAAUCAACGCUAUGACUUUUAGAUUGUCCAGUAAUUUCCUUUGCAGCUAGUAAUUUUUAAAACAUAGCUACAAAACAGUUUUGCUAUUCCUACCGAAUACUUGAUGAGUGAUGAUUUAUAUAGAAAAGGAGUAAAAGCAAGGAGUGUUUCUUAUGGAAUUUAUGCUUUGUGUAACUCUAGGAGUCUCACACAUCAUAUGUGCUUUCACCAUGAAGAUAAGGAAACUAUUUGCCAACCCUCAUUUAAUCCGAAAGUAGACUCUGUGUGGCUCAGAAGGAAGGAGGCAAUGUCUUCCGUGGAGAGGGACAGGAGAGCUCAGGAACGCAAAUGCUACAGUAAUAUUUUGCCCACAGAUUCAGAGAGAAAAAUCCAACCCAGGCAAGACGCUCCCUUGGUGCGUGCAUUGUGAAUUUCUUGGGGAACUGCAGGGAGGGGAAGGGUUGGGGGUUCCGUUUGGUUGGUUUCCACUGAAUAGCAUUGAGCCAAAAGAAAGCCCAUAACUAAUUGGCUCUGUUGGAGGGGGAAAUGCUAUCAGGACUUUUUUCUUUCUUUCUUUCUCUUUUUCUUUCUUUCUUUCUUUUUAUCUUUUUAAGUGCAGUGGGCACGGAGACGUGACAUUGCAUCAUUGCACGUUGCACGGUGGCAGUGGCCUUGCUGUUCUCUCCUGGACAGAGGAGCAACCAGAAUGGCAACUGAGAUUAGCAUCGAGUGACCAACAUUGUAUUUGCAUCUGAAAGUGCCCGCCACAAACAGCUGAGGCAGCAUUUGAGCUGGAGGAGAGGUGAAUAAAUCCUCUGGAACUGUCCUGUUGGCCUUCGUAGGGCUGGGCUGGAGGGUCCAUGAAGAGAGCCUUCUGGAUUUAGGACUAAGAUCCCAUCUCAAAAGAAAUAGCCUCUAUGUCAGGUUCAAUAACUUGCUCGGUGAAGGAUGGCAGCUUGGGCAUGUUUCUUUCCUUGAUUUCUGCAGGCUCACUUUGUCUCUUUCUCUUCCUUCCUGCUGCAUGUUGCUCUACCUCAUUCACCAGGCAGGGGAUGUGGGCUGAUACUCCUUCGUUUCAUCAUUUGUCAAUGCGGGGUGGGGGUGGGGGUGGGGAAUAGCCCUCCUCCCCCCUUAGUGAGCUCCCUCCCCAAGGAGGUGAGGGCUGCACCUUACUUGGUCCACUGUCCUCCUCUGCAGCUCUGUCCUCCAUGGGGGCGAAAGAGCAGAGACAAAGGAAUGGAGCUCCACUUCCUCCUCAGGGAAAGAGAAAAGCUUGAAAUUGUGAGUUUUCCCAGGCUUCUUCUGGGAUGCCAAGGAAGACUGAAUUGCAUAAUCUCACAAAAAUGUGAGAUGCAACCUACGCCUUCAUAAACUAAUAAUAUAGAGUCGAGGGAUUAGAGACACUGAGAAACAUGUGUGUGAUUUCCUGACCUGAGCACAAUUAAAGACGUUGAUUGUGAAAUCUAAAUGCCUCCAGAACCAAAGAACUACAGACCCAAGAAAUGUAACUCACCAUGGAGGGAUCCUGAUGUCAUGUUGGGUUCUUUCAUAAGAGCUCCCGGGGAGAACCCAGAGACACGUAGGAGUGUCUUUUCCAUUAAACUCAGAAGGUCCAUAUUGGAAACCUUGCCUGUUCUUCCAACAGAGAGAGAUUGCAUCGAAAGGCAAAGCUAGCUUUUAAUAUAUUGCUAUUUUAGAGAUUUCCUUCUUUCUCUGUAUUUGGUUUGUUUUAAACGUGUUGAUUAUUGGCUGUUGAUGAGCAAAGCACUGGGCUCAGAGCAGAGCUGCUGAGCUUGGAACCGUAGCCAAAUGCUCCAAGGGCCUCCUCAGCAGCACCUGCCCGAGCAACAUGAAGGAGUGCAGAUGUGUGGCCUGGCAACUCUGGAAGGAAGGUUACCCAAGGGGCAGUGUUCUAUUAAAUUGAACACUGUUCAUUGGGCACGUCCUUGUGUCACAUCACUGUGUUAGGGCCACACAUUGGGAACGCAAAGGUAAGUGUGACAUAGCUCCUGCCCAUAAGAAUGUCACAAUUUUUUUUUAAAAAGAUGUUAUUUAUUUAUUUGAUCGAGAGAGAGAGAGAGAGAGAGCGCGCACCAGUGGGGGCAGAGGAGUGGCAGAGAGAGAAAAGGGAGCCAAAUGCAGAGCGUCCCGGGAUCAUGACCUGAACCAAAAGCAGAUGCUUGCUUAACUGACUGAGCCACCCAGGCACCCGAAGAAUGUCACAAUUUGAUAGGAAUAUAAUUAAAUUAAAAUUAAAUUUAAAAAAUUCAAUUCAAUUAAAAAAUUGAAUUCAUUCAUGUGCUAAAUUAGCAACAUGAACAUUAUUUUUUUAUGCAGACUCCAGGGAUAAGGGAGGCCUUUAAAAAAAUCCUUCAUCAACAUCAUAAUCCAAGGGAAUUUAUCUAGACUUAUUACAAGGAUUUCUGUCUCUGGACCCCCUAAGUCUGUGGUGCUCAAAGUAGACGUGGGUACCCUAACCGUG
rnacentral:lncRNA from 1 species